UACAUUUAGGCAACGUCAUAAGGAAAUACUUGAAGCUGCUAACGUCAGCUAACACGUUACAGUUAUGGCGUUUACAUUAUAUUCCCUUAUUCAAGCGGUGAUUUUGUGUGUAAAUGCUGUCGCCGUAUUGCACGAAGAAAGAUUUUUAAGUAAAAUUGGCUGGGGUGUGGACCAAAGUAUUGGGGGAUUUGGUGAUGAACCGGGCAUUAAAGUGCAGCUAAUGAACCUUGUCCGCUCUGUGAGAACAGUAAUGAGAGUGCCCUUGAUUGCUGUCAAUUCGGUCUGCAUUGUGUUGUUGCUGCUGUUUGGCUGAAGCGAAGACUUGACUGAAUCUGGAUGUUGAACUAAGAGAAGACAUUUUCAGGGCUCAGGGGGAUGUCUCCAUGAUUCCUGAAGGAGAAACCCUACAUGUACAACAAAGAAGAUUACACACACACACACGUGUUGUUGUAUCACAAAGAAUCAGCAUUACAUUUGAUUUCCUUUUUAUUUAUUCCCACUUUACAUGGUCAGACUGAGUAACAGUUCAGAUGCAGGAACAGUCAGUGUUUACUCCUUUAUGCCAUUCAGUUUCUUUCAAAGACACUGAGUCAAUGAUGUUUACACAAAGCAGUCCAAAGCAUGUUGCUGCUGGAUGAUUUCUACAAUGUCAAAGGAUAAUUUACUUUGAGCAUGCGAUUAAUUAAACUUUCUUUCUCCUAAUAUGAAACUGUGAUUGUGUCACAGUGCUGAUUAUGGCAUGCAUGUUGCUGUUAACAUAUUGUAAUCUUAUGUUGCAAAAAGUGUAUUUUUCUUCACACCUUCCUGGACAAAAUGUUAAAUGUACGUAAUUUGAACAGACAUAAACGCCGUAAAUCGGGAUAUAUAUUUGGUGUCUCAUGUAGACAACUUAAUUAUGUAUGACUUUUUUUUUUCUCAGUAACUUUCAAUCAAUUACUUGAAAAAAAUAAAGAUGUUUUAAAUAUCAACACAUUUUGAGUUUGUUCAUAUCAAUAACUGAUAUUACCCAACGGCAUUACAUGUUGACGUUGUAAUGUUUUGUCCCAUAACGCAAUCCGUACUUCAACACAACUUUCGUUUUGAUCAUGGUUGAAAGUGUCAAAAGUGCAGUAAGGAGACCGAAGUGACUUGAUUCCUUUGUUAAAUACAAAAUUGUGUGCAUGUUGGCGAUGUUUUUUAAUUGCCGUGUAUGAAUGGCAUGGCAGUGUACUCUCGGACUAGCUGCAAACUUCAGCACAAGGGCAACUAGCACUCGUUCUCCCGAGGAGGCCUUCCUAUAACAGUAUAGUACAUAUUAGUGAUCAAGUACAAUAGAGUCGGUGGAUGCUUCUCAUGUAAUACUUGAAAAUGGAAAAUAUUAUGACCAAUGUUUUCAUUGCUGGGCUCCCAGCGUGUGCCAUAUAUUUUCUUUACACCAACAUUUAUUGCUCUUAUAAACUACUGAAAGCUAAUGUGGUGUUUGACAGUUGUCAGAGCAUUCCAAGUUUUGCCUACCUUUUUCUCAGAUAUGUAUUCAGAGCUCUUAUCAAAAGACAGGGGCAUUUGUACUUUUGCGAUAGAGAUGUCGAAGGUGAAGUUUCCUUCACCAUCUUUAACUGCAGGUUCAACAAGGAUCUACUGAGGAGGUUCUGUAGUGCAGCUGGAUAUGGCUGGGACUACCCAGACAUUGAGUUCAGGGAUAUCCUCUGUGUUACCCAGACACCCUCUGUCUGCGGAUGCUUGACAUAUUAAUAUCUGCUGAGAAGUUCAGAUUGAGCCCUCUGGGUCUAGUCCGGGUACGUCAGAGUUUGAGAACAUGGCAGCCAAUAGAUGAGCUGAAGAAGGGACCCUUCAAGUUGCAGGCUCGUGUGUUAGAGUACAGGGUUGUUGAAGAUGGGGUGGAAGUUGACAUUUCUUUAACUGCCAUUUCACACACUGACCAGCCAGUAUGGGAGAGUGUUUUGACAAUGCUCUCCCAGGACAGAGGCCGAACACCAAACACACAACCUAAAACUGAGUGGUAUGAUGGUCACAUGGACACAUCAGAGCCAGAUGACGUGAAGGCGGUAGAUAUCAAUGUUCCCUGGACUACAGGACUGAAGUUUGUGUGGGCUUUCUCUGACUACUCUCCACGUUGUCUCCUAACUCUUCCUGCUAAACUCUUGGGCUGCAGAUGUACCCCAACUCCUAGUCUAUGGAUGCUGUCUAAAUGUUUGGCUGAAAUUGAAAAGCACAAAGGAGUUGAUGCCAUUAGAGCCCCCAUCUCUGUCACCGCCCAGUUCAAGGAACCAUUGUUGGUACCAGGAAAAGUGACCAUCAAAUUUUGUGAGAGUGCGGGAGUGCAGUCCAAAUGUGUUAGCUUCCAAAUGGAGCAAUACGAGAGGAAGAUACCUCACAUUACGGGACAGAUCUGCAGGAUUACUGUAGAGGAUGUGAAUUAAAGAUGAAAACGGCGCCAAUGGCCACACCAGCACCGUUAUUGUUUUUGUUGCAGAGAUGAGGAGCAUCACGUAGCAUGGUAAAAAAAAAAAAAAAAUGCAGUACUCUUCUAUGAUGUGUUAAAUGAUGUCAGAGUUGAAAAAACUGUUUGUUGUUUGCAGUAACUUCUUUGUUGUAAUAUCGCAAAUGGUGUGGCUGCUUCACCAAUAAGGAUUCCAGCUUUAAGAUGAUCAGUUAUGACAUGACAUUCUAUAAAUAUCAGGUAGAUGAAAGUCAUAAUAAUAAGGGAUGAUUGUGUAAUUAUUAGUGGAAUGACAUCUCAUCUUUGCCAUUAUGUGGCAUCCUAGUCAGUGCGGCAUAGGCUUCAUGGCCCAGCAGGUGAUUUACACAAAUGUAUCUUCAAUCCAAAGUACCCCAAUACUGCUACCCUCUAGAGUAGAUAUUUACAUCAAACAAGAACUGCAGUCUUAAGGCAUUUUCUGUGUCCUCUACAACUCUAAUGUUACUAUGUCCACAGAAGCACCAUAAGCUACAGUUGAUGCAGACAAGGUCCCUACAGGGAAUGGAGACUUGAAUAUUUGAUCUGUUUGAUAUUCUUGUUCCCUGCCUUCAUGUUUAUGAAGGUCUUUUCUCUUGUAUUACUCAUUGUAAAAUGGAGGUGUAGGCAGGAAAUAUGUAGAGGAACAUAAACAGUAUUGUUCACUGAAAUGCUUUGUAGAGAUCCAUGAAUUAAACUAUACCUUAAGUUUAAUGUCAGUAUUUACAUAUUUCUGCUAAACUUCAAAGAGUGGUGAUUAGAUUCUGCCUAGGAGUAAAGUGUUAAAUAAAUAUUACUAAAAUGAA